GAUAAACGCUGGCGGCGUGCGUAACACAUGCAAGUCGAACGAGAUUGCACCGACGGAACCUUCGGGGGAAGAUGGUGCAUGAAAGUGGCGGAUGGGUGAGUAACGCGUAAGAAACCUGCCUUUCACACCGGGAUAGCAGCUGGAAACGGCUAUUAAUACCGGAUGAUACUUUUCUGACGCAUGUUAGGAAGGUCAAAGAAUUUCGGUGAAAGAUGGUCUUGCGUCUGAUUAGCUCGUUGGUGGGGUAACGGCCUACCAAGGCGACGAUCAGUAGCCGGCCUGAGAGGGUGUACGGCCACAUUGGGACUGAGACACGGCCCAAACUCCUACGGGAGGCAGCAGUGGGGAAUUUUGCACAAUGGAGGAAACUCUGAUGCAGCGACGCCGCGUGAACGAAGAAGGUUUUCGGAUCGUAAAGUUCUGUCCUGGGUGAAGAUAAUGACGGUAACUCAGGAGGAAGCCCCGGCUAACUACGUGCCAGCAGCCGCGGUAAUU
rnacentral:rRNA from 1 species